AGGAUUAACGCUGGCGGAGUGCCUAACACAUGCAAGUCGAGCGGCAGCGCGAGUAGUUUACUACUUGGCGGCGAGCGGCGGACGGCUGAGUAACGCGUGGGAACGUGCCCCAAAGUGAGGAAUAACUGCCCGAAAGGGUAGCUAAUGCCGCAUAUGAUCUUCGGAUUAAAGGAUUUAUCCGCUUUGGGAGCGGCCCGCGUCAGAUUAGGUAGUUGGUGAGGUAAAGGCUCACCAAGCCGACGAUCUGUAGCUGGUCUGAGAGGAUGACCAGCCAGACUGGAACUGAGACACGGUCCAGACUCCUACGGGAGGCAGCAGUGAGGAAUCUUCCACAAGUCGGGGGAAACCCGAUGGAG
rnacentral:rRNA from 1 species